AGGUGCAAGAAGUCGCCAUGGUGAUUUUGGAAGGGUCACUGGUGCAGGAAAUUGCUGAAGUGAUGUGUGGGGGGAGUGUUCAGAGCAGACCUACAGGGCAAAGCUGUGUGCUAAAUACUAAUGAAAGGGGAGGGUAGGUGUAAGGGCUGCUGGGAGUCAGUGGGAGAGUGGAGACAAAGGGGGUUGUCCAGGAGCAUCUCAGUGGAUGGUGAUGUAGCUGUGGGAAGUUGCCUGUGGUAGCUGGGAAGAGGCAGUUACAGAACAUUGUCAGUGAGUCUUCGGUGAGCAUAAGGACAAGAACAUGCUUAUAGGCAACAGGUAUGGAAGUUGCCACGUAGAAGUAGAGGGGGGCAUGUAGGUGCCAGAUACUACCAAUGAGAUACCAGCAGAACUUAGCUAUUGUAGUAAGCAGGUGCUAUAGAAACAUCCAAAAGGGGUUGACUCACUGACUGAGGAGCCCACAGACAGCAGGUUGUUAAAAAGAAUUAGAAGGAGAAGCAUUUAUAAAUGUCUUUUAACCAUUUAAAAAAAAAACAGGGUGUAAUAAACUGCUGAAAAUAGCUGCAGCUGGAAAAGCCGGUAAGGGGACUAUCUGGAAAAGGUGUGAAUGUCAAACCAACAGGUCACGGAGUGAGUGGGGAAGGAGCUAACAAACAUGCUAUGCUGUUCCUGCUGAAUAUUUCUGGGAAAGGAUGGAGGAGAUAGGAGAGGACUAAAGAGAAGUAAACAUGCCACUGAGUGUCUAGAAAGAAGAGAAGACUCAAUCUUGCCAGUUAGCCUCUGCUGACCUGGGUUCAGGUUGAAGAUGGGAGGGGUCUCUUCUUACCCAGGGCUUGCGGAACCCUGGGAAUGCAAGACCCAUAGGCCCAUGGUCUCGCCCAUCUCUAAGAUUUCUAGAAGAACUGAAUCUUAGCAAAGGGCCUGACUGGCUGGAGAUGUAAAACACAGGGAGGCUGGCUACGAACCACUUCUGGAUGAUUCUCGAAAGAGUCGGAGGCUUCAAGAAGAUGGCCACCAUGACCACGCCUGUGCCUUACUCGCUUCUGUUGGACCCAAGAAAUGGUAACAAAACAGCUGUGCUAUUUCUACUCUUCUCCUUCUAGUGGGAAUACAAAGGCGAGCAUCUGUCCUGCCAAACUGGGAACCAAAGCCCAGAUCAUUUGCUUCUUCCUUUGUCCUUAUCACCAAACUACUGGAGUUUCAGUAUGAAUAAGACUGGAAUGGCUACUUUAAAAAAAAUAAAUUUAUUAAAUAAAACA